rnacentral:rRNA from 1 species
AUGCCUUCGUAUCUGAAGCUAUGCUUUGCCUAUUGUGCAAUAUUUCCAAAAGGUCAAAAGAUACUUAUAGAUGAUCUUAUUCAUCAAUGGGUUUCUCUUGGUUUCUCUACUUGCGAGCUUGGUGAGAAAUACAUUAGUCAGCUUUUGGGGCUCUCUUUCCUUGAACAUUCAAAGCCAUCAUCAACUUUUGAGCUAUAUGAUGAAGAUGUUAUAUUGUUCACCAUGCAUGACCUGGUGCAUGAUUUAGCAAGAUCGGUAAUGGACAAUGAACUUCUUUUUGUUGGCAAAAGCACUAAUGCUGCAGAAAGCUGCUACCACUAUGCAUUGCUCGAUGAUUGUAGCAAGCCUUUGGGAUCGGACUUGUCCAAGAUAAGAGCAUUGCAUUUUAUGGAUUGUGACAAAUAUGAACUUCAUGAUGCUGCAUUUUUAUCUGCCAAGUCUUUGCGUGUCUUGGACCUAAGUGAGUGCACCAUACAUAAGCUGGCAUACUGUAUUGGUGAACUGAAGCAACUGAGAUAUCUAAGCGCUCCAAGAGUACAAGAUACAGAGAUUCCAGACAGUAUCACCAAACUCUCAAAAUUAGUUUAUCUGAACCUUCACGGGUCUCCUGCACUCUUAGCACUGCCAGAGUCAAUUGGAGAAAUUGAGGGUCUAAUGUAUCUUGAUUUGUCAAGUUGUUCCAGAAUUAAAAAACUGCCAGAAUCAUUCAAGAGGCUACAAAAGUUGGUGCAUUUGGAUUUAUCAGAUUGCUCGUCUGUUGAGGGAAUAUCAGUGUUCUUGGAGAGCCUCACAAAACUAGAGUAUUUGAACUUGUCAUACUGCACAAAUAUCGGAGACACACCAGAAGUUCUGGGCGGCCUAUCCAAACUGCAGUAUUUAAACUUAUCACACAGCUCAUAUCUUGAAUGUGGUAAAGAAGCAGAAUUUUUGGGUGCCCUCAGAAAACUCGAGUAUUUGAACUUAUCUUCAAGGGAAUGUGGACUCAAAAAGCUCCCUGAAUCGUUGGGCAGACUCACUCAACUCAAGUACCUAAUGUUACCAGGUUGGCGAGAUUUGAAAAAACUGCCAAGAUGUUUUGGGAGCCUAAAAAGUUUGGUCCAUAUUGAUUUAUCAUUUUGUUGGAUGGUUGAUUGUGUACAUGAAGCUUUGGUUGGUCUUACCAAUCUUCAAUAUUUGAAUUUAGAAGAAACACACCUCAGUUCGCUGCCAGAGGAUCUGACCAAGCUUCGGUAUUUGAAUCUAUCUGGACUAAGAAAACACUCAUCGAAUGAUCCAAGAAAAGAUCAAUUCAAUCCUAUUCCUCUUGCUGCAGAAACUUGGGACAUUCUCAUCAACCAUAUGUGCGGAAUUACUCUUUCAGAUCUAGAGCAUUUGGACUUGUCUGGCAAUUAUCUUCUGGAAAGAAUACCUGAAAGUAUUUGUAGCAUGACAAAACUGCACACAUUGGACCUCUCGGGAUGCAUACGUUUGGAGAAAAUACCUGAAAGUAUAUGCAUAGUUGGUAGCUUGAAGUUUCUUUAUUUAAACAAUUGUAGAAGUCUUUCAGAAAUACCUCAACUCGGUAGCAGUGCAAUAUCGUUACCACACUUUGUGGUGUGUGCUGGCAAUGAUGGAUCUAGCAGCAAUCUUGUCCUGCUAAAACCCACAGAUCCUUUUGAGCUGGAUAUAACUGAACUUGAAAAUGUGAAGUCCGCAGGAGAGGCAAAUAGUAUAAAAUUACUGGAAAAGCAAAGCAUUUGGCAGUUGAAACAGGAGUGGACUCAAGGUGUUGACAGAUUUGUGGAUGACAACAUUUUGCUGGAAAAACUAGUGCCUCCAAGCACAUUGAGGAAGUUGGAAAUAUGUGGUUAUAACAGUGUCAUCUUUCCAGGCUGGGUAGUGCGCCAACUACCAAACCUGAAGUCACUGGUUCUCAGAAAUAUGGCAAAUCUGGAAGAAUGGGACACUUCAUACUCCACCGGUGAGGAAAACGUGUUAAACAGAGUAGACAGACAUGGUUGCCCAAUGCUAAGGAUGAAAGGGCCUCUGCCUAAAGCUAAACAAUGGGAGAUAAGAUGCAGUGAUAAUGUGUUAUCAUCAUGGGAUGAGUGCAUUGUGUCACACACCAGUGCUUCCUCCUCUUCUUCUACAAUAACUACUUGGUUGUCAGUUAGAGACUGCAAGGGGCCUCAUCAAUGGAGGUGGCUUCAACACUUCCCUAGACUCCCUUCUUUGGAUAUUACCAAUUGUGGUGAUCUAACCAGCUCACCAGAGAUCAAUCAACAUCUAUCCUCUUUAGAGACACUGUCCCUAAGAGAUUUACACAUGGAAGAACUGCCAAUAUGGUUGGGCGAGCUCCCAUCUCUCAAGAAUCUAGAAAUAAGCGGCAGCGAUGGUGUAAAGGAGUUGAACGAGAACACGAGGCAACUCACAAAGCUUGAAUCACUAGAACUGAGCUUCUGCAAAAGCAUAUCAGUGUCACAUUGGCUGGGCGAAUUAACCUCUCUCAAGGAACUUUGCAUGAAUUACAAGUUUGGCUUGAGGUCUUUGCCGGCAAGCAUACAAUAG